UACGUAGGGUGCAAGCGUUAAUCGGAAUUACUGGGCGUAAAGCGUGCGCAGGCGGUUAUGUAAGACAGGUGUGAAAUCCCCGGGCUUAACCUGGGAAUUGCAUCUGUGACUGCAUAGCUAGAGUACGGUAGAGGGGGAUGGAAUUCCGCGUGUAGCAGUGAAAUGCGUAGAUAUGCGGAGGAACACCGAUGGCGAAGGCAAUCCCCUGGACCUGUACUGACGCUCAUGCACGAAAGCGUGGGGAGCAAACAGG
rnacentral:rRNA from 1 species